rnacentral:lncRNA from 1 species
GAUUAAGCCAGCACCUCUCUGAGCCUUCUCUUUCAAAAUGCAAAGACUCCCUAGCAGGGGGAGGUCCCUGAAGGGGAGUGUUAGACGCUGUAAUGUCAUCAUGGGACUGCCGUUUUGAGAUUUCACCCGAAAAUCUGGAUCUUUCAGUGAAGAUGGGCCCACAUUCUCACUGGGAGACAGCCUGUCAGUGAGUAGCCGCUGCCCCACUGGACAUGAGAGAACUCUUCCAUUUCCCAGAGCUCCACCUUCCAGCACAAUCUGUGUUAGUCACCUCCUGUGCCCUCCUGUUUAUCAUGGGCUUUUGAGUCUGUGACCCAGGAUUAUGUUCUGAAGAGCCUGAGGAAAUGAAUGACUCCAGGAAAGGGAGUUAGGAGGCUGUGGUUGAAGACAGGGGCUGGGGCUGAAGCAAACAUGGCUCUACACCCUCUCGCAUGUCCAGGUCCGCCUGUGAC